rnacentral:rRNA from 1 species
CGAACGGGUGAGUAACGCGUGAGGAACCUGCCUCAAAGAGGGGGACAACAGUUGGAAACGACUGCUAAUACCGCAUAAGCCCACGGCUCGGCAUCGAGCAGAGGGAAAAGGAGUAAUCCGCUUUGAGAUGGCCUCGCGUCCGAUUAGCUAGUUGGUGAGGUAACGGCCCACCAAGGCGACGAUCGGUAGCCGGACUGAAAGGUUGAACGGCCACAUUGGGACUGAGACACGGCCCAG